rnacentral:rRNA from 1 species
AUGCACGCUGGCGGCGUGCCUAAUACAUGCAAGUCGAGCGAACAGACGAGGAGCUUGCUCCUCUGACGUUAGCGGCGGACGGGUGAGUAACACGUGGAUAACCUACCUAUAAGACUGGGAUAACUUCGGGAAACCGGAGCUAAUACCGGAUAAUAUAUUGAACCGCAUGGUUCAAUAGUGAAAGACGGUUUUGCUGUCACUUAUAGAUGGAUCCGCGCCGCAUUAGCUAGUUGGUAAGGUAACGGCUUACCAAGGCAACGAUGCGUAGCCGACCUGAGAGGGUGAUCGGCCACACUGGAACUGAGACACGGUCCAGACUCCUACGGGAGGCAGCAGUAGGGAAUCUUCCGCAAUGGGCGAAAGCCUGACGGAGCAACGCCGCGUGAGUGAUGAAGGUCUUCGGAUCGUAAAACUCUGUUAUUAGGGAAGAUCAAAUGUGUAAGUAACUAUGCACGUCUUGACGGUACCUAAUCAGAAAGCCACGGCUAACUACGUG